GAUAACCGAGAAUAAUUCUUGGAUCUAAGGUUGGAUUAAUUAACCUAACUUCACCACCUCCAGGUGCCCAAGUAUCAUAGGCUCCACCGAUGAAACACCAGUUUAGAGACCAUGCUAAUGCCCCUACACCUAAAACAAUAAGGUGAUAUCCGAGGAUAUUAGUCAUUUGAUUCUUGUCUCUCCA
rfam:Marine metagenome 1095403296441, whole genome shotgun sequence.